rnacentral:misc_RNA from 1 species
UUUUUUAUAGAUAUAAUUUUUGCCUGUUAGUUGUAAACGCUAUUGGAUAUAACAAGGUACUCCCGACAAAGGAAAGUAAUUUCGCUUGAAACAAUAGGACUUAAAAAACUGGAAAAAGUAAGCGGACUUGUCGAGAAAAGCCAGUGACUCUAAAAAUAGCGAUACCGACAUUGGGUCUUCCCAUAUUAUGAAAGUGUUGAUUCACUGGUUACGGUAUUAAAUUUUUCGACAGAUACUAAGUUAGUACAAUUUGGAGUGAAAUUAAGAAUGAUGACGAGACAGACACUGAAGAGGGUGAUGAUGAUAUCGGUGUGUCGGCAAAAACUCGAGAAUUUUCUUUAAAAAAUGCACUAAAUACGGUAGUGAUUUUCAAACCUUCUUCAUGCAGAAAACAGACAUCGAAGAUUCCACAUUAAGUGUUUUACAAAAUUAAAACUGAUUGACAUUAUUGAAACUUACCAAAGAAUUUAUU